AGUGCUGAGCCCUGGGCAAGUGUCUCCAGACAUCUCUACCUUUUCUCCCUUUUAUUAGUCUUCUUUCCCAACAGAACCCAUUUACUUUGCCACUAAAACUAGGUUGCAUCCAAAAGUUUCUCACAAGCUUAAAAGAGAAAAAUUGACACCAUUAUACAGAAGAAUUCACAAAAGCUGCAGAGCACCAGGGCAGAGAAGCAGCGACAGACACAGGCCCAGGACACCCAGGACGGAUGUUUCCAAGUCACUCGAGGGACAGCACAAGGCUCUCACUGGCCUGCCUAGGUCUCAGAAGUUGCUUUCCCCGCUCUACUCUGUGAAUUUCCCAAACUCUCUAACUCUGAUCCAUCUUCGUUCACUCUUCUCUAUAGUUUGUGUGUAAAGAGCCCUUAAAGCAAUAUGGUGGAAAGUUAAGAGUUGUGAGCCAGUGGCAGGCAAGGCCUGCACUUGGUACAUCAAAGGAAAUUUCUAGGUACUUGCUCCUGAGUCUGGGAUCACAGGCUCUCCAGCCUCCCCCCUAUUACUAGGAAACAGUAGAAUUUAGGGAAAUGGAUGAUUCCAUGUUUAAGAGGCUUGAAAUUGUAUACUUGGCAUUUCUGAUUUCAGUUCUAAAAUUCUGUCCCUUAGUCAUAGAGAAAAUAAGAAAUGUAGUUACAACUUUUCAUUACAAAAAUGUUGCAUUGAGAGAAAUGGAAAAUCAUGCCCACAUAAACAUGUACAAAAGUGUUCAUGAUUUGAUCACAGCUGGGGACAUAGCUCAGUCAUGGGGCGCUUGCAUAGCAAUGUGCAUAACCCAAGGUUCAAGCCCCAGCCCUGACAUGGAGAAGCAGAAGGAGCGGAGGUAUUCAUAGCAGCCUUUUCAAUAUAGGCAUGAAAGGGAGAGUUUAAAUGCCUGCUGAGGCACGGAGAGUGUAGAGUGGCUUGUCUAUAAAACUGGAUACUAGUCAUCAGUAGAGAGGUUUGAAAUGAUAGACAUGGUGAAUGAGUCUUUAAACGUCUUCCUAAGUAAUGAAGCCAACCAAAAGGAAAGGCACAUUCUCCAUAUUUCUGGAGUAUAUAGGCAAACCAUUAUAGAGAAAAAAGCACAAUACUGGUUACCUGGUCUUGGAGAGAUGAACAGACUUUGGGAGACAGCAGAGUGGAACAGAAUUUACUUGAGUGGUGAUAAAAAAAAAAAAGUUCUUUAAUUAACUGAAGUGAUGCUUGUUCCACUUGAUCACGGCAUUUAAAAACCACUGAAUUUUACCUUUGGAUGGGUGAAUCGAAUGGUACAUUCAUUAUAUUUCAAUAAAGCCAUGAGUAU
rnacentral:lncRNA from 1 species